rnacentral:rRNA from 1 species
CCCACCUAAACAAACUCAACAAACCCCUGUUAAUACCCCCUAAGUACCCCAGUAUUUUAACUUAAACAAACCAUUUUUCCCCCUUAGUAUAGGCGAUAGAAAAGGACAAAAGGCGCAAUAGAGAAAGUACCGCAGGGGAAUGCUGAAAGAGAAAUGAAACAACCCAGUGAAGCUUUAAAAAGCAGAGCUUAACACUC